rnacentral:rRNA from 1 species
CAGUAGCCGCGGUAAUACGUAGGUGGCAAGCGUUGUCCGGAAUUAUUGGGCGUAAAGCGCGCGCAGGUGGUUUAAUAAGUCUGAUGUGAAAGCCCACGGCUCAACCGUGGAGGGUCAUUGGAAACUGUUAAACUUGAGUGCAGGAGAGAAAAGUGGAAUUCCUAGUGUAGCGGUGAAAUGCGUAGAGAUUAGGAGGAACAACAGUGGCGAAGGCGGCUUUUUGGCCUGUAACUGACACUGAGGCUCGAAAGCCAGGGGAGCGAACGGGAUUAGAUACCCCAGUAGUCCCUGUCUCUUAUAC